AUUGAACGCUGGCGGCAUGCCUUACACAUGCAAGUCGAACGGUAACAGGUCUUCGGAUGCUGACGAGUGGCGAACGGGUGAGUAAUACAUCGGAACGUGCCUAGUAGUGGGGGAUAACUACUCGAAAGAGUGGCUAAUACCGCAUGAGAUCUACGGAUGAAAGCAGGGGAUCGCAAGACCUUGUGCUACUAGAGCGGCAGAUGGCAGAUUAGGUAGUGGGUGGGAUAAAAGCUUACCAAGCCGACGAUCUGUAGCUGGUCUGAGAGGACGAUCAGCCACACUGGGACUGAGACACGGCCCAGACUCCUACGGGAGGCAGCAGUGGGGAAUUUUGGACAAUGGGCGCAAGCCUGAUCCAGCAAUGCCGCGUGCAGGAUGAAGGCCUUCGGGUUGUAAACUGCUUUUGUACGGAACGAAAAGCCCUGGGUUAAUACCCUGGGGUCAUGACGGUACCGUAAGAAUAAGCACCGGCUAACUACGUGCCAGCAGCCGCCGUAACAC
rnacentral:rRNA from 1 species